UUGACGGGCCCGCACAAGCAGCGGAGCGUGUGGUUAAUUCGAUGCUACACGAAGAACCUUACCAGGGUUUGACAUGCAAGUGGUAGGAAACCGAAAGGUGACCGACCCUUCGGGGAGCUUGCACAGGUGCUGCAUGGCUGUCGUCAGCUCGUGUCGUGAGAUGUUCGGUUAAGUCCGCUAACGAGCGCAACCCUCGCUGUGUGUUAUAUGUGUCACACGGGACUGCCGGUCUUAAGCCGGAGGAAGGUGGGGAUGAUGUCAAGUCAGCAUGGCCUUUAUAUCCUGGGCUACACACACGCUACAAUGGCCAACACAAUAGGUUGCUAAGCCGCGAGGUGGCGCCAAUCCAUAAAGUUGGUCUCAGUUCAGAUUGUAGGCUGCAACCCGCCUGCAUGAAGAUGGAGUUGCUAGUAAUCGCGGAUCAGCACGCCGCGGUGAAUACGUUCCCGGGCCUU
rnacentral:rRNA from 1 species